AUGGGAGCUGCAGGGGUGGUGCCUGCGGGCGUGGGCAGCACACGGAGACACGCUGUCCCUCUCCCGUGCCGAGGUGUGCCAGCAGCCAGAGCAUGCACCUUACACCCCAACCUUCCCCCCAACCCCCUGUCCCGGGUCAGAAUCCUCCUCCUGCACCCAAACUCCCUUCGAAAGCCCACACCCCACCCUGCACCCCAACCUCUGCCCCAGUCUGGAGCCCCGUCCUGCACCGAAAACUCCUUCCCAGAGCCCGCACAUCAUACCCCCUGCACCCAACUCCCUGCCCCAAGUCAGAAUCCCCCUCCUGCACCCAAACUCCCUUUCAGAGCCCGCACCCCACCCUGCACCCCAACCCUCUGCCCCAGCCUGGAGCCCCGUCCUGCACCCAAAACUCCUUCCCAGAGCCCGCACAUCAUACCCCCUGAACCCAACCCCCUGCCCCAGCCCCGUCCUGCACCCAAAACUCCUUCCCAGAGCCCGCACAUCAUACCCCCUGAACCCAACCCCCUGCCCCAGCCCCCUCCUGCACCCAAAGUCCUUCCCAGAGCCUGCAUAUCAUACCCCCUGCACCCCAACCCCCUGCCCCAGCCCUCUCCUGCACCCAAAGUCCUUCCCAGAGCCUGCACAUCAUAACCCCUGCACCCCAACCCCCUGCCCCAGCCCCCUCCUGCACCCAAACUCCCUCCCAGAAAGAAACGACUAUAACGCUGUUCUAAGAUAAGACGUAGGCUAUUCUGAAUUCACGUAACUGUAUUCUACGUUUGAAGGCUGAAAUGUAACCCCAGAACGGCUUGACGUUAAUUAAAAGGCAAGUUGAAUACAGCAUUAGUAGCCUCGAUGCCACGACUGUGAUCAUUUCUUUUUAAAUUAGGAAAAAGACGUGAAUACAGGGGGCCCCACAAAAUCUAAAUGCCCUGGGCCCACAGGAGACUUAAUCUGACCCUGGGGAGAGCGCUAAGCGGGGCGGCGCGCAGCUGGAAGGCACCGGGUCGAUUAAAAGGGGCAGUUGACAGAAUGAGCUUGCGUCCAUCCUUGGGUCUGUUUUACUGCAGCUAGUGUUGGGUUAGAAGCCGUACCAGUGUGUAACAGAAACGGUUUAUCCAAGUCAUGUUCAAUAACAUGAUUGAAUCUCUUUACAAACUCAAAGUAAAACUUGGUUAGAACAAUAGUGGAUUGGAUCUGCUGUUGCAGCAGGAUUCCUGUAUGUCUCAUGGGAUCUUGCCAAGAGCUAAAGAACAUCAUACAGCUACUUUAUCCACACAAGCUCUGGCAAAUCUUUGGAACCCAAUUAAUAUCGGGACAAUGUUGUCCAUAGUACAGGAAUCUUGGCAUUUAGCCGUCAAAGCAAUAUGGUCGGGUGCCUCAGUUUCCCUUUUCCAUACAGCACAUCAGGUCUGGAAUGUCUUUUCCCCUGUGAAAAGUCCCAAUACUCGUUACAGGCACUAACUGUGAAACAUCAGCAUUACAAGGCUUUUUAACAGCAAGCGUGUCCUUAUGUACCACCCUUAGCACGUUUAAGGGAUUUGCCAAAAGAUUAGGCCCAUUGUACAUUUUCACAGUUUUUGGUAAUAGCAACACAUUAGUUACAAAACCCGUCAUUAGCAAUAACAACAAAUGUAUCGCAAGUGUCCAU
rnacentral:lncRNA from 1 species